rnacentral:rRNA from 1 species
GGGCUACACACGUGCUACAAUGGUGGUGACAGUGGGUUAAUCCCCAAAAGCCAUCUCAGUUCGGAUUGUCGUCUGCAACUCGACGGCAUGAAGUCGGAAUCGCUAGUAAUCGUGGAUCAGCAUGCCACGGUGAAUACGUUCCCGGGCCUUGUACACACCGCCCGUCACACCACGAGAGUUGGUCGCGCCCGAAGCCGUGACCCCAACCGCAAGGAGGGGAGCGUCUACGGCGAGGUCGGCGAUUGGGGUGAAGUCGUAACAAGGUAGCCGUAGGGGAACCU